rnacentral:lncRNA from 1 species
AACAAAUCAAUGGCGCAGGAAGGGAAAAAAUGCAGGCCCCAUCUACAAGUCCAAAGCUCUUUCAACAAGGUAAUCAGGGGGGUGUAGAUACCUAGAGGGUGCAGAUAGAAGGAUUUGGGUCUGGGAGCCCAAUGCAAGGCAAUGAAAGAAUCAACAAUCCCAAAACAACGCAUGCACAAUUGUCAAACACAUUUUCCACGUUUUCCACUCAGGUUAAAAUUUUCAAGUCAUCUCUCUUCCCUCCAACUGAAUGCAACUCUCCUCCACCGUGCCGGAGGUCGCCUCCGGCGGAGGCGGAGACCUAAUAUUCAAACAAAUCACACCACCCCUUCAUCUUCUUCAUUUGAACACGAAUCCCAUACCGAAAAUCCUUGAUUCCUUCUCAAAAAUUUGAAUCGAAGAGAUAUGCGCACAGAACCUAAAUCUUAAAAGAGAAAUUAAAUUCUUAACUCUCGGAAUAAAAUUCCUAGAGGUUAGGGAUUUGAUUCCCCUAAUAUUCUUUUACACCAUGCUAACCAGCAUGUUGUGAAUAGUUAAAGAAAAAAAGAAGCACUCGCCGAAGCCGAUGCCGGAAACCAGGUUUGAAUCUUUGAAUCUUCUUCCUCUUCGUCUAAUUCUUCUUCUUCUUUUGAAACGUCUAGUUUGAAUUGUGGUGUGAGAGGUCGUAUGAAUGCAGAGAAUUCGAGAGGGGGAGAGUUUGUGAAGUGAAUGGAGAUGGGAUUAUUGGAACUGAUGAUGAAUAUUGAUUGGACUCUCAAUGAAUGAUAUGAAUUGUUUUUAUAGGAAGGAUGAUUAAUAGAGAAAUCUAACUCUGUUAAUUGUUAGUUAGCAAUGCGAAUCAAAAUCAGUUAGAGGUGAAAGCGGCGUGAGAUUGCUAGUUAGGGUUAGCUAUGUUAAUUAUGAAAUUCAGUUUGAGUGAUUUGAUUUGGCUGUAACGGAUUUGGAAGGAGAAUGUUGUAACUGAGUUUGAGUCAUGUUCAAUUUCUGUUAGUUGUGAAAUGAGUUGUUAAGUGAUGUAGUUAGUGAAAGUGUUAAGUUAAGUUAAAUGCUAAUUGGUUAGAUGGAAAUGGUUAGGGUGAAGUUGAGUUAAAAUGAAUUUUAAUUUCCUGUUAGGUGAAAAAACAUUGUUCGGUAGUGAUGUCAAUGGUUUGCUCGAUUUGCUGAAUACUAACUUGGAAUUGCUAUGACUGUUAUUGUUUGAAUGAUUUGGUUGGUUAGAUGCAUAUGUGAUGACUGCUGCUCGAUUUUGGAUGUCCUGCUAUUGUUAUGUUUAGCUUGCUGCAGAUUUUUUGGAUUUAUGCAAUGCCUUGAGUGACUUGCUGCAUUAAUUUUGUUGUGACUGUAUGCACUAGUAUUGAUAUGCUCAUGUUGUUUGAUUGGUUGUUGAAUUGUUAAAUGACAUGUUUUGAUGUAGAUGAUUAUGAGUGUUAUGUCAUUUGCAUUUGGUAUGUUUUGGCCACGAUUGUUUAAUGAAUUUUGGUAUGCUUGAAAUGGGGUGGAAUAUUAUGUUUCAUGAAUAUGGUUGGUUUAUGGUACAUGAAUGUUGUAAUACAUAUGCUUUAUUGAAUCAUUAUUCCUUAUUGUAUGUCAUGCAUGCAAUUGCUUUGUGUAUGCUAAUGUGUUGGAUGUUAUUUGUCAUGGCUUACUUGGUAUGGAAAUGACAUAUGGUUUUGGUCUUUGUUUGUAGGAUGGACAAAUGUAAGGAUGGUUGGUCUUGAAGAAACAAGGGACUUAGGGUUUAGGGAUGUUGAAAUGGUGACUUGCCUUUGCUCAAUUGGUUGACCAAAAAGUCAACAGUUAACCAAAAGUCAACUUAUGCAAAAAGUGUAUUUCUUUGUAAUUUUCAAUGGAACGUGUAUGGAUAAUGUAAUCCAAUGGCCUUUAUGAAUGAAAUGUAUUUUCUUUGGUAAAAAAAGUUCUAAUGAAACAUGCUUUUAAAUUCAAAUUAUCAUUUUCCCUCCAAAUGUCAUGUUUGAAAUUACUUGUAAACCAUGAUCUUGUAUGCACCAUAACACAUGAAUCAAUGGAUAAUGAAUGCAUUAUGAAAUUGGAUAAACGAACCUUAGCAUGAACCUUAAACAAAUGGACCAUGAAUGAAACAUAAAACUUGACCAAAUAGACCAUGAGUGAAACUCUAAACUUCAAGUUAGUGGACCAUGAAACUUGAAUUAAUGGAACUUGAAUGCACAAAGAUCUUUAAAUCAAUGCAUGAGUCUUGAAUGAACCAAAAGAGAACUUUAACAACAAAUCUAUGAAGCCAUGAUUAUCAGAUGAACUUAAUGAAUGAUUCUAAUGGCAAUGCCAUGAUGCAAAUAAAAAAUGACAAAAUAGCCUCUCCCAUGAACUAGGGUUUCACACAAAUGAUUAAUAGACAAACCAGUCCACGUAUGUCAAGCACACAUGAUUAGGGGUUCAAUCACAAUCCAAAACCAAGAUGUAAAUCAAGCAGAUCAAGAUCACAAACCAAGAAACGCUGAAUCACCAACUAGGGUUUCAAGCAUUGGUCCAAGAAUAAGCUUCCACAUUGACUGCAACAUCCCAAUCCCUAGGGCUUGAUCCUUGGGCAAACAAUAGGCUUUUGUUAGGAAUAAAAAAUCUCAAACCUUUGAAUCUAUGGUGUAUGUUUACAAGUGUUAAUAUGAAUGCAUGAUACACAUGUAUUUGGCAUGAAUGUAUGUAGAUGAAUCAUAAACCAAAAGUCAUGUGAAAAGUGAAAAGGGGAGAGAAAAUUUUGGGGUAUGGCAGUUGCCCCUAUUUAAUCUUCUCGGACCUGAGGAUAUGAAUAACAACGACUUUCAAACAUUCGUGGUACGAGAGUAUUAAAUACCAAAAUAACUUAAAUUCUGGCAAGCAGAUCCCUGAUGUCGUACAAGAAGUCACGACCUCAGGGUCUGCACAUUAUCACACCACAAACAAUAGCAGGAUAAAUAAAAUUGUAUAACAGUAAAUAACAUAAUCAAUUGUUAACCCAAUUCGGUACAACGUCACCUACAUCUGGGGGCUAUCAAGCUAGGAAGGAAAUUCAUUAUCACAGAAUUAGUUUGAAGUCCUGAACAACCUCAGUGUUUACAUACUUCUCACCUAAUCUCUACUUGUGGACGUUUCUAUCCAGGGCAUACCUAGAUAUGAGACCCUCUCACUUCCCUCAACCACGCAAUAACACACAACAGAAAAACACAAUCCAUUCUUGCUUAAAAGCUUCUGAGGGAUUGUUAGUUACAACUCCAUACACCAGGUCCAAUUCAGGUAUCAAUGUGAUACUCAAAUGGCUCACACAAAGCACACGCAUGAAACCCUAAUGCUAACAAAAUAUUGCACUGCUUCACUGCAUUCCUAGGUAUAAAUCUCCCCUAUAAUAGCAGUAAGAGGCACGGGCUUCGGUCUUUGAUUUUCAAUAGAUCCAAUAUCUCUCCUCAAUCUUCUGAAGAUAUGAUUUCUAUCAAAUCACAUGUUUCCUAAAGUCUCUUAACAUUGUUACUUCGUAACCAAGUCAAGAUACGAUAUUCUUCAGGUACAAGGAAAAUACGCAAUAAUAUACUAGAGCUAAAUCUUCAGAGAAUCUUUAAAUAAAUCAUUUAAGGAGACUAAAACUUACAACCAACAUAAGCUCGGUUACACUGAAUGUUGAAACAACAUAUCAUGACAUCUUGUUCAACAUCUGUCAAAUAAACUUGUUUUUCCAAAAUGCAGCCAAUCACAAAAUGACAGGCCUAAAAAUCCCCCCCUUUGGCAAAUUUUGACUAAAACAAUCUUUGCAACGGUCAACUAUCAAUAGAUAGAAGGGAUAGACACAAGAAUGUAUAUCAACAAGAAAACAUACUACAUCCUUUCUCACACAGUCACCAGAGGCAAGGCGUAGCAAAUUUGACUAAAACAAUCUUUGCAACGGUCAACUAUCAAUAGAUAGAAGGGAUAGACACAAGAAUGUAUAUCAACAAGAAAACAUACUACAUCCUUUCUCACACAGUCACCAGAGGCAAGGCGUAGCAAAUCAACAAGCCUCAUACUGUAUAACCAAAACAUUAGCAUAAAAAAACAAUUCCAUCUUUCUUAGACAGGAUGUCAGGACAUUGUUCCUGACAUCAUGAACAUCGGAAUUAGGUCAGGCACUCCCCCUGAGUAUCAGAACCACGAGAUGAGUUACCCCAAGGGUUACUCCCCCUACAUAUUUGAAUAUGCCCCCCCUCAAGGAUUAAGAGGGAUAAGAAACAUCAAUACCUAUUCAAACACACCUGCUCCCCCUUUUUAGCCAUAAAGUUGACAAACAAACCACAUUAACCAUACCAACAAUGUAAGUCACACAAGAUUAAGAGGGUUUACAAACCAAGAAGCACUUAUAGAGUGCAUAAAGAAGAAUCCAUGGCACAGACCAUAAAAGCAACAAAAUCAGAAAUAACACACAAAAGAUCUAGAGAUCAUUAAUCUUCAUCACUGCUGGUAUCUUCUUUAUCACUUGCAUCAAUCAUGUCUUCAUUAUCUUCUUCCUCAUUUGUUCCAUCAUCUUUCAUACCACCUUCUUCUUCAGACAGAGUAGAUCUAGAGAUCAUUAAUCUUCAUCACUGCUGGUAUCUUCUUUAUCACUUGCAUCAAUCAUGUCUUCAUUAUCUUCUUCCUCAUUUGUUCCAUCAUCUUUCAUACCACCUUCUUCUUCAGACAGAGAAUUAAUCAAAAUUUCAAGUUUGCUCUUCCUUUCAGUACAACUAUUUAUAGUUUCAUCCAAAGUCUUGCAUCUAUCUUUCAGCUCAGCUAUGAUGCUUGUUCUGUCAGUGGACCUUGAAGGAGUCUGUUCAGAUGUCAUGACAAUGUAUGCGACAUGUUUCCCCGGUGAAAAACCUAUAAUGAAGUGAGAGAGGAGGGUCCCUUUUGCAUUACUAUCAGAAUUGAUUAAUAUACUGGGGUGUUGACUCAGGAUAACCCCAUAGAUCAAAGAGGGAAAAGCUAUUGGCAUUUUUGCAGCAUAAGAUGCAACAUGCUUCAUAGUAUGACCAAAAACAUAGGAACCAAAAUCAAAAUUUGACUUGGUCCUAACAAUAUAGAUGAACUUACCUAGCCCAAUAGCUAUAUUGGAGGUGUGAUUGGUUGGCACCCAAUUUGAAGCUCCAAUUUUGAGAACAACAUAUUUGACACUUAAGGCACUAGCAAACAAUUUCCCUUUCCUUGGCCAUUCCUUCACUUUCUUAGCAUUAAUUUCUCUGUAGAUGACAUUGUCAGAUACCUCAAUUUCAACUUGUUCUUCUUAAUUUUUGCCCAAGAACCUGUUGAUUGUUUCUGGAGAAAAUCCACACAUAUUCCUCUGACAUACACUUUUUUGAAUUUCUUGCUCCUUUUGUUUUCACACUCCUUGGAGAUGUUCACAAUAAACUCUUUGACAAGCAUUUCAUAGCACUUGCCAAAUCCUGUUAUAGUUUUCAUUAAGUCAACUUCUUGAAUCAGACUCAACACCUCUUUACACUAAAAAAACAUCCUUCCCCAAUUCCCUUUCCAGUGAUAACCUUCUUUGAUAAACAUAUUUCCAUUUUUCAACAUUUUCAACAGAGUGAAAAGAAAUGUUGUCAAGUGGAACUUCAAGAAUAUUGGCUGGUAUCUUCUUCCCAGAGGCCUGCUUUCUGGAAAAAGAGAUGAUUUCCUGAAUAUUGUGUUUGAUAUCAUGAUCAGAUUCACUGGUAUCAGAGGGAACUUCCUUCCUUUUCAGGGACUUCUUCUUAUAUAAUGGAGUCACCACCUUGCUCCAUCUUUUAGUGGGACCAACAUUAGCUUUGUUUCUGACAGAUUUGGAGGGAGUGCUAGAGGAUCCAACAACUUGGCCUUUUCUAUUCCUCAAUCUUUUAGCAAUGCCAGGAGCUAGUCUUUGCCCAAUAGGAAUAUCAUCAAAGUCCAGUUCCUCAAUAUUAACAAUUUUAGUGGGUUGAUCAACAUGGUUUUAUCUUUGUUAUCCAACUCAUUAGUUAUAUCUUUAGACCAUUCUUUGUCUUGAGAAUUCUCAGGAGACAGAGUAGGUGCAUGCAUAUCAGGAUUAUCUAUGGGGUUCUCAAUAUUGUUAUCCGGUUGAGCCAAGGAUGUGGAGACAUUCGGCACGACAUUUUUCUUAGGGUCAAUCCCUAAUACUUGAGAGAUCAACACACGAAUAUUCUUAACAACGUCGUCUCAGUCAGCAACGAUCACGCUAGAUUUACUCAAGGUAGUAACAGAUCUAGGUUUAUUGUUGGACCCAAAAGCUUCAACAUUUUCCAUAACAUUUAUCGCAGCAGGACAAUCUUCAGACACAUCAACAUUAGGUUCAACGCUGAUGGGAUCGAGAUACAGGAUAGUCAUGGACAUGGGUUUCUUCACAAUAGUUAGAGGUUCAUGAUCAUUCAUAUUUCUAGCAGUUAUGAAGGGAGUGGAAGAGGUACUUACCUUAGUAGGAAGAGGAAAAGAACUUCUACUUCAAGAGGUCUUUCUCAUGGGAGUUGCAUGGAUAGGAACGAUCGAGAAGGGCACAACAUCAUUGAUGACAUCAAAUAGAUCUAUCUCAGUGCCAAUAAUUUUAGGGUUUGAUUGCUCUUUGGAGGAUUUGCUUGGAGUGGAGGCAGAAGGUUGUGACAUUUUGGAAUUUUUCUGUAGAGAGGAGAUGGAGAGAUGAAGAUGUAUGAGAACGAGUUUGAGAGAGAGAAUGCAUAGGUUAGCGUGAGGAUGGCUAAGGUACAGUGUUGGGAAAUAGGAGAAAAAUGUAAUAAUGGACUUUGAGUUUUGUGCAAAGUUAAGUGAAGGGAAGAGAAAUUUUCAUUUCUUUUUCUCCUCUUUAGUAAUUGCUAUAAUUCUUCAAGCAUGCAAAUGCCCGAUUCGCCUCUUAGUGUUUCAAAUUUAUUUGCAUAUAAAGCUUUGGUAAAAAUGUCUGCUAAUUGCUUUUCAGUAGUUACAUGCUCAAGAGUGACAAUUUUGUCUUCCACCAGAUCUCUAAUGAAGUGAUGACGGAUAUCAAUGUGCUUAGUUAUGUUGUGCUGAAUAGGGUUCUUGAAAAUGUUAAUAGCACUUAGGUUGUCACAGUACAAUGUCAUGACAUCUUGCUGGACAUUGUAUUCUUCUAACAUUUGUUUCAUCCAAAUCAAUUGAGAGCAACUACUUCCUACAACAAUAUAUUCAACCUCAGUUGUAGAUAAGGACACACUAUUUUGCUUUUUACUGAACCAAGAUAUGAGAUUAUUUCCCAAAAAGAAACAUAUUCCAGAAGUGAUUUUUUUAUCAUCAGCACUGUCUGCCGAAUCUGCAUCAUAAUAUCCUAUUAGUAAGGAGUUAGCAUUAUGAAAAUACAACAUUCCAUAUUCACCGGUUCCAUUGAUAUACUUCAGAAUCCUUUUCACUUGAGUAAUGUGACUCAUUUUGGGUUCAGAUUGAUAUCUAGCACACACUCCUACAACAAAUGUAAUGUCAGGUCUGAUAGCUGUGAGAUAAAGCAGACUACCAAUCAUACUCCUAUACAGACUUUGAUCCAUAUUUGUACCUUUUAAAUCUUUGGUUAGUUUUAAAUGAGGUGGUGCAGGUGUCCUUUCAUGGAUAACAUUUUCCAUGCCAAAUUUUUUCACUAUGUUCUUGGCAUACUUGCUUUGGGAGGUGAAGAUAAUGCCAAAAGGUCAACAAUUGACCAAAAGUCAACGUAUGCAAAAAGUGUAUUUCUUUGUAAUUUUCAAUGGAACAUGUAUGGAUAAUGUAAUCUAAUGGCCUUUAUGAAUGGAAUAAAUUUUCUUUGGCAAAAAAAGUUCUAAUGAAACAUGCUUUUA